rnacentral:rRNA from 1 species
UGCCUAAUACAUGCAAGUCGAACGAACUCUGGUAUUGAUUGGUGCUUGCAUCAUGAUUUACAUCUGAGUGAGUGGCGAACUGGUGAGUAACACGUGGGAAACCUGCCCAGAAGCGGGGGAUAACACCUGGAAACAGAUGCUAAUACCGCAUAACAACUUGGACCGCAUGGUCCGAGUUUGAAAGAUGGCUUCGGCUAUCACUUUUGGAUGGUCCCGCGGCGUAUAAGCUAGAUGGUGAGGUAACGGCUCACCAUGGCAAUGAUACGUAGCCGACCUGAGAGGGUAAUCGGCCACAUUGGGACUGAGACACGGCCCAAACUCCUACGGGAGGCAGCAGUAGGGAAUCUUCCACAAUGGACGAAAGUCUGAUGGAGCAACGCCGCGUGAGUGAAGAAGGGUUUCGGCUCGUAAAACUCUGUUGUUAAAGAAGAACAUAUCUGAGAGUAACUGUUCAGGUAUUGACGGUAUUUAACCAGAAAGCCACGGCUAACUACGUGCCAGCAGCCGCGGUAAUACGUAGGUGGCAAGCGUUGUCCGGAUUUAUUGGGCGUAAAGCGAGCGCCGGCGGUUUUUUAAGUCUGAUGUGAAAGCCUUCGGCUCAACCGAAGAAGUGCAUCGGAAACUGGGAAACUUGAGUGCAGAAGAGGACAGUGGAACUCCAUGUGUAGCGGUGAAAUGCGUAGAUAUAUGGAAGAACACCAGUGGCGAAGGCGGCUGUCUGGUCUGUAACUGACGCUGAGGCUCGAAAGUAUGGGUAGCAAACAGGAUUAGAUACCCUGGUAGUCCAUACCGUAAACGAUGAAUGCUAAGUGUUGGAGGGUUUCCGCCCUUCAGUGCUGCAGCUAACGCAUUAAGCAUUCCGCCUGGGGAGUACGGCCGCAAGGCUGAAACUCAAAGGAAUUGACGGGGGCCCGCACAAGCGGUGGAGCAUGUGGUUUAAUUCGAAGCUACGCGAAGAACCUUACCAGGUCUUGACAUACUAUGCAAAUCUAAGAGAUUAGACGUUCCCUUCGGGGACAUGGAUACAGGUGGUGCAUGGUUGUCGUCAGCUCGUGUCGUGAGAUGUUGGGUUAAGUCCCGCAACGAGCGCAACCCUUAUUAUCAGUUGCCAGCAUUAAGUUGGGCACUCUGGUGAGACUGCCGGUGACAAACCGGAGGAAGGUGGGGAUGACGUCAAAUCAUCAUGCCCCUUAUGACCUGGGCUACACACGUGCUACAAUGGAUGGUACAACGAGUUGCGAACUCGCGAGAGUAAGCUAAUCUCUUAAAGCCAUUCUCAGUUCGGAUUGUAGGCUGCAACUCGCCUACAUGAAGUCGGAAUCGCUAGUAAUCGCGGAUCAGCAUGCCGCGGUGAAUACGUUCCCGGGCCUUGUACACACCGCCCGUCACACCAUGAGAGUUUGUAACACCCAAAGUCGGUGGGGUAACCUUUUAGG